CCUACGGGAGGCAGCAGUGGGGAAUUUUGGACAAUGGGCGCAAGCCUGAUCCAGCAAUGCCGCGUGCAGGAUGAAGGCCUUCGGGUUGUAAACUGCUUUUGUACGGAACGAAACGGUCUGCUCUAAUACAGUGGGCUAAUGACGGUACCGUAAGAAUAAGCACCGGCUAACUACGUGCCAGCAGCCGCGGUAAUACGUAGGGUGCGAGCGUUAAUCGGAAUUACUGGGCGUAAAGCGUGCGCAGGCGGUUAUAUAAGACAGAUGUGAAAUCCCCGGGCUCAACCUGGGACCUGCAUUUGUGACUGUAUAGCUAGAGUGCGGCAGAGGGGGGAUGGAAUUCCGCGUGUAGCAGUGAAAUGCGUAGAUAUGCGGAGGAACACCGAUGGCGAAGGCAAUCCCCUGGGGCCUGCACUGACGCUCAUGCACGAAAGCGUGGGGAGCAAACAGGAUUAGAUACCCGUGGUAGUCCACGCCCUAAACGAUGUCAACUGGUUGUUGGGUCUUCACUGACUCAGUAACGAAGCUAACGCGUGAAGUUGACCGCCGUUGGGGAGUACGGCCGGCAAGGUUGAACUUCGAAAUUGAAUUGAGG
rnacentral:rRNA from 1 species